UAAUACGUAGGGGGCUAGCGUUAUCCGGAUUUACUGGGCGUAAAGGGUGCGUAGGUGGUUUCUUAAGUCAGGAGUGAAAGGCUACGGCUCAACCGUAGUAAGCUCUUGAAACUGGGAAACUUGAGUGCAGGAGAGGAAAGUGGAAUUCCUAGUGUAGCGGUGAAAUGCGUAGAUAUUAGGAGGAACACCAGUAGCGAAGGCGGCUUUCUGGACUGUAACUGACACUGAGGCACGAAAGCGUGGGGAGCAAACAGGAUUAGAUACCCUGGUAGUCCACGCCGUAAACGAUGAGUACUAGGUGUCGGGGGUUACCCCCCUCGGUGCCGCAGCUAACGCAUUAAGUACUCCGCCUGGGGAGUACGCUCGCAAGAGUG
rnacentral:rRNA from 1 species